CCUACGGGUGGCAGCAGUCGAGAAUCAUUCACAAUGGGGGAAACCCUGAUGGUGCGACGCCGCGUGGGGGAAUGAAGGUCUUCGGAUUGUAAACCCCUGUCAUGUGGGGGCAAAUUAAAAAGAUAGUACCACAAGAGGAAGAGACGGCUAACUCUGUGCCAGCAGCCGCGGUAAUACAGAGGUCUCAAGCGUUGUUCGGAAUCACUGGGCGUAAGGCGUGCGUAGGCUGUUUCGUAAGUCGUGUGUGAAAGGCGCGGGCUCAACCCGCGGACGGCACCUGAUACUGCGAGACUAGAGUAAUGGAGGGGGAACCGGAAUUCGCGGUGUAGCAGUGAAAUGCGUAGAUAUCGAGAGGAACACUCGUGGCGAAGGCGGGUUCCUGGACAUUAACUGACGCUGAGGCACGAAGGCCAGGGGAGCUAAAGGGAUUAGAUACCCUUGUAGUC
rnacentral:rRNA from 1 species